GCUGGAAUAGCUCAGUUGGCUAAAGCGUGUGGCUGUUAACCACAAGGUAGCCCUCCUUCUAGCG
rnacentral:tRNA from 1 species